CUGCAAAUAAUGCUAACGUGAUUAGCUGAGGUGUCUUUAAUCUAGCUAACAAGUAAAAACAUUGACAGCUAAGUAUGUGGCGCGGGUAAAGAGAGAGUAUUAAAUUAAAUGUGCAGAUAAACAACUGUGUUUUAAAAUUAGCUUAUGAGAAAUUACUAACGCUAACUAACUUAGCUCAAAUUAUGGAGCAGAGGUGCUGCAGUGCUUUUCACCUGGAAACAACUUAAGAGCAUAGAAGCAGUGGGCAGGCAUGGCAAGGUGCCAGGAGACCAACCCCAGUUCUGAGGCCAGUACAUUAACGUUACCAAGGACAAUGGCAGAAGUCUGCUCCGUGGACUGGAUGUCAGACGCUGAAGCCUUGCUGUCACGCUGUUAUGGCCAAUUAACAUGACUGACCAGCACUAGAGAGGAAGGUGCACCAUGAUGCCCCUCAACAAAAAGACUGAAGAAAACAGCAGCUGAUGACGGUGUAGCCUCAUCAAGCAAGAAUACUAGUGCGGGUCCUUUUCACCUGUCAUCACGGGUGAGAAUGAGCAGUGAUAAUACCCUCACUCUGCCCCCCCUUUUGCUAACCAGUAUCUGCCCUAUUAGCAAUUUAUAAUGGAGAUCAAGAAGUAGUCUAUGGAGAAUGAAGACAACUGUCUGCUCCCCUUCCUAAUUGGCUUUAUGUUCUCUUUCUGAUAAAUGGCUCACAACUACUAUAAAGUCCUGUGGAUUUUAUUGCCCUAAUAGGACUCAGUAACUGGAUUUACUAACAGAUAGCGGGUCAAAAAGGACAUAGAGAGCAAAAAUGUUAAUUAAUAUCAAUAAUGGCCAAUUAUUAGUUUGACAGAGGGAUCCAAGCUAGCUGUGUGCUCUAAUGACUCUGAGCUAACUUGAAGGGAAACACUGGCAAAUUAGCAUAACUGUGUAUGCGCACUCCAUGGAGGUGCCCAGCAAACAUCUGUUAUGUUAGAAAUUCAAAUAGAAUUCCUAUUAGUAACCCUGGCUGUGGUUGCAUAAUCAGUCAUUCUUCUCUGGCCAUUUUUGAGGCACUAACAAUGCCCCUGUGACUGGUGGAACUCCUCCCUCUGGGCUUUCCAAUCAAAUUUGGCCCCAUGUGGACCAGGUCCUAACAACAGACGAGGCAAUGUGGACUUAUAAGGGGAGCUUUGUGCUCUGACAGGAGCUCAAUCUAUCCACCCAUGACACACGACUGAAGAAAGGAAAACUGUUAUUUAUUUGAAUACAGCCGAUACUAGUUAAGGAAUUAAUGUUGAAAUAUAGUUUUCUGACCUGCUGGGAUGCAGCUACUUAUUUGUACCCACAUGCAAAGUGUUUUUGGAGGCAUUUUGUUUUUUAUGCAGUUGUUUGCAAGUUGUACUUAAGCCAUGAAUUCUACAUCAGUACUGAAUGAAUAUAUAAUAUUAAAGAAGAUGGUAAACGGGUUUAUUAAUUCUGAGGUUAUCUGAAGACAGCAGCUGCUGUAGGAUAUUGAAAACAGAAAAUAUUCUGCUAAGGAAUUGAUUUUCUAUUUGGAGCAAGUAAUGUAAGCUCUCUGUACCUUAUGGGAAUUACUGCAUACCACUGUAUGGACGCUAGCGGGCAUCUCACAUUUGUUGUUGAAGAAGCACUUUCUUAGUAAUCAAUGGCUGCUGUUAUUCAGAAUAAAUGCACUCAAAG